AUGCUUCAAUUCGAGGUAUCACCGAUAAUGCGGGUGAAUAUUGACGUUGAAAAUGAGAUCAUAUCCAUAAGUGAUUCUGAACAAUCUCAUGCACGAAAUGAAUCGACAUCUUCAUUCGUAGAAAAUACGAAAAAAUUGCAUCAGUCCAACCCGAAGCCUAAAAGGAAGAAAAAAUAUAACUCAAGUCCUAUAUCAGAGACAGAGCAAAUUGAAUGGAGAAACAUUCCUGCUUUCGAUGAAUCUACCCCAACACAAAAGGAAACUGUAUCCAUUGAAGCAUCUGAACAAUUGUAUGAGGCCAAACCGAAGAAGAAAAAGAAAAAGGAAUGGAAGGAAACCUAUGCAUUGUAA
rnacentral:lncRNA from 1 species